CUGAAGAUUAUACCUAACACCAGGGGAUGGCUUAUUAAUCAUACUUCUAGAAGAAUUUAAAAAUGAUUUCUCCAAUGGCUCCGAGACAACCUCUCCUGUAAAAUAUUUUAUAAAUAAUCAGCCCAGAUUCAUGUCUUUGCUAAUUGACAAAACCACCUCAGAAUUCAGAUGUUAAGGAGAGGAGAAAAGGGGAGAGACAGGGAAGGUAUGGAUUUCCAGCCAAAGACAGAAGACAGGGAGAAUCUUCUACCAACACCGUGGCUGGGAGCAGAGGGAGGAAGAACCAAAGGCUAGAUUGUAACUGUGGGAAUCACAAAAUUGUGGGCGACGGUGUUAAGGCGAGGGAAACACUUGAAGUACCCAGUCACCUAGCUUCGUUGGAAGGCACGAAAGAUUGACAAUCUAUUAUGAAUGCUUCAGAUGCCAGAUAAAUAUUUCAAUGCAAAUGAAUAAAGGAUGG
rnacentral:lncRNA from 1 species